AAAUUGAAGAGUUUGAUCAUGGCUCAGAUUGAACGCUGGCGGCAGGCCUAACACAUGCAAGUCGAACGGUAACAGAAAGAAGCUUGCUUCUUUGCUGACGAGUGGCGGACGGGUGAGUAAUGUCUGGGAAACUGCCUGAUGGAGGGGGAUAACUACUGGAAACGGUAGCUAAUACCGCAUAACGUCGC
rnacentral:rRNA from 1 species